rnacentral:lncRNA from 1 species
CCGCUUUGAGUUACAAGAUUAGGUCAAAGGAGAUAAUAUUGAUUUGCGUAGUUGGAUUACAUUCUUUAUUCUUCCUAACUUCAUGAAUGUUACGAUUCUCAUCUCCUCUGAGAUAUGCUUGAAGGAUCAUCUCAAAUGAUCUAAUGUCAAGAAUAUUUUCACACUUUCAAAUUUUCUAUUAAAGAAUGCAUCAGUUUUAAAGAAAUUUGUUAUCAUAUCAAAGAGAAGAAGGUCUUACAUAUUUAAGA